GUCAGACAAAGACAUUAUGUUUCUACUCGUGCGUUCAGCUGAAGUUCAGCUAACAGAGAUGAUUCCUUGACCAAAUAAGGCCUGCACCGACCACACCCAACUCAAAGCAUUCUCUUGGGAACUUCAAAGACCAAAAUGCUUUUCAAAAGUAUCUAGGAGAAACGAAGGUCGUAGCCAUAUUCCCUACGAAUGAGGGUCUUACUGGAUUCUUUCAUUGAGACACUUCAACUCCUCAACAUGACACAAGUAUUUGUAUUUCUUCGCAGAGGAUAAAGAAUCCAUGCUUGUAAGUAUUGUUAGAAGGUCUGUCUCAUGUUUACACUGUUUGUGUUCAGUUCGUUGCUAAGAGGGUUAUAGCACAUAGAUCCUAAUUAGCAUCAGCAUUAAGUUAGCAAACGCUAUGAGGUUGUUUUAAAUAAACAGGGUGUAGUUCUGUGUUUUAUAUUUAACAUUUUCAUUCAUAUUUGACAGUAAGUCAUCGUUUGUAUCUCAAUUUGGCGCUCACAACUCAGUGUGGAUGUUAUGCAAGCUGAAAGGAGCAUUUUAUUGUGGCUUUGGCCUUAAACGCAUGAUUGUUUUUCACCUAGCUAGCAUGUUUGUUUGUUUUCCUCGCUCACGACUCACUUGCGUCUGUGAAGACGCUCGCAGUUCCUGUCCUCGUCUGCUUGCCCGCACUCGUCAGCGACCACCAGGCGCAGAUAUUGGUGCGAGAGUCUGUGGUUAUGUUGCCGCAGAUUACACUCUUGCAUGUAGGUCAACGCAUCAAUAUGAAGAGUUUGAAGCUGGUGUUUCCCCCACAGUCCGCUUCGAGGUUCCCGCAUCCUUCCUCUUGCAGAUUGCUGCAAGGAGUGAUGACGCUGGCGGGGACCGCAUGUAAACAAAGCCCAUGUCAUCGAUGUGUUCUUUUGACUUGUUGCUGAUGUAUUUUGGAUCAUAACAACAGAUGCGCACCAGAGCAGAAUCACUCAACAUGCCGCGGAUUCUUUUUGAGAGGCGCGUGCCCACAUAGUCUGUGACUGUCUGACAUUCAAUGAGGUGAAAGGUGAGACACAGUCAACGUGAGCAUGGUCACAUAGCCAAGUGUGUGAGUCUGCAUGUGUGGGAGGGGUUGUGGUUAUUGGAGAUGCCCUUCUUGUUUUGGAAUCCGUCUUAAACGGCACAUCACUUAUUCCAUUAAAUACCAAGCCAUUGCCUAAGAUCAAUCUGUAAAGGUUAUCAAGAGAACUAGAUUGUUUUGUAUUGUUAGAUGGAAAUUUCUGCAAAUACCAAUCAUCCAUUCCAGUAAAAGGCAAAAGAAUGUUUGCUCUCUACUUCAUAAAAAUAGAGCAAAAACACCAAUAAAUAGAAUGUAAAUCUA